GAUUUCGUAGCUCAAAGCAGAGCACCGGUCUGUUAAACCGGAGGUUGGAAGUUAGAAUCUUUCCGGAAUCG
rnacentral:tRNA from 1 species